UACGAAGGGUGCAAGCGUUACUCGGAAUUACUGGGCGUAAAGCGUGCGUAGGUGGUUUGUUAAGUCUGAUGUGAAAGCCCUGGGCUCAACCUGGGAAUUGCAUUGGAUACUGGCAGGCUAGAGUGCGGUAGAGGAUGGCGGAAUUCCCGGUGUAGCAGUGAAAUGCGUAGAGAUCGGGAGGAACACCAGAGGCGAAGGCGGCGACCUGGACAGUUACUGACACUCAACUGCGAAAGCGUGGGGAGCAAACAGG
rnacentral:rRNA from 1 species